rnacentral:rRNA from 1 species
GUGGGGAAUAUUGGACAAUGGGCGCAAGCCUGAUCCAGCCAUGCCGCGUGAGUGAUGAAGGCCUUAGGGUUGUAAAGCUCUUUCAGUGGGGACGAUAAUGACGGUACCCACAGAAGAAGCCCCGGCUAACUUCGUGCCAGCAGCCGCGGUAAUACGAAGGGGGCUAGCGUUGUUCGGAAUUACUGGGCGUAAAGCGCACGUAGGCGGACAUUUAAGUCAGGGGUGAAAUCCCGGGGCUCAACCCCGGAACUGCCUUUGAUACUGGGUGUCUAGAGGAUGGAAGAGGUAAGUGGAAUUCCGGGUGUAGAGGUGAAAUUCGUAGAUAUUCGGAGGAACACCAGUGGCGAAGGCGGCUUACUGGUCCAUUACUGACGCUGAGGUGCGAAAGCGUGGGGAGCAAACAGGAUUAGAUACCCGAGUAGUCC